rnacentral:misc_RNA from 1 species
AAGUCGUAACAAGGUUUCCGUAGGUGAACCUGCGGAAGGAUCAUUAACACGUAUCCAACGUUAAACCCCUGCUCCGGAAUCUUUCAAACAGCAAUCUCAGUAAAUCAAUGUUGAACAGUUUUGAUUUGAGACCUCUGUUUGGAGAGUGAACAUUGAGACGGUUGAGAUAGGGGCAUGGCUUCCCGAAUCAAUCAUCAAAUGAAAUUGUGUAAGGAUAACGCUUCUCGGUCGCUGGAGGCCCACACGGUCGGCGGACAUGCCUCAUGGGCGCAAGCCCCUUUUUAACCCCACUAAACUUCUCCUUCCUUGUGGCGAAAGCCGCAGGUGCAAAAAACGAACAACUGUUAACAAUGGAUAUCUUGGUUUUC